AUGCUGGAGGUAUCAGAAGUGCGAAUGCUGACAUAAGUAACGAUAAAGCGGGUGAAAAGCCCGCUCGCCGGAAGACCAAGGGUUCCUGUCCAACGUUAAUCGGGGCAGGGUGAGUCGACCCCUAAGGCGAGGCCGAAAGGCGUAGUCGAUGGGAAACAGGUUAAUAUUCCUGUACUUGGUGUUACUGCGAAGGGGGGACGGAGAAGGCUAUGUUGGCCGGGCGACGGUUGUCCCGGUUUAAGCGUGUAGGCUGGUUUUCCAGGCAAAUCCGGAAAAUCAAGGCUGAGGCGUGAUGACGAGGCACUACGGUGCUGAAGCAACAAAUGCCCUGCUUCCAGGAAAAGCCUCUAAGCAUCAGGUAACAUCAAAUCGUACCCCAAACCGACACAGGUGGUCAGGUAGAGAAUACCAAGGCGCUUGAGAGAACUCGGGUGAAGGAACUAGGCAAAAUGGUGCCGUAACUUCGGGAGAAGGCACGCUGAUAUGUAGGUGAAGUCCCUCGCGGAUGGAGCUGAAAUCAGUCGAAGAUACCAGCUGGCUGCAACUGUUUAUUAAAAACACAGCACUGUGCAAACACGAAAGUGGACGUAUACGGUGUGACGCCUGCCCGGUGCCGGAAGGUUAAUUGAUGGGGUUAGCGCAAGCGAAGCUCUUGAUCGAAGCCCCGGUAAACGGCGGCCGUAACUAUAACGGUCCUAAGGUAGCGAAAUUCCUUGUCGGGUAAGUUCCGACCUGCACGAAUGGCGUAAUGAUGGCCAGGCUGUCUCCACCCGAGACUCAGUGAAAUUGAACUCGCUGUGAAGAUGCAGUGUACCCGCGGCAAGACGGAAAGACCCCGUGAACCUUUACUAUAGCUUGACACUGAACAUUGAGCCUUGAUGUGUAGGAUAGGUGGGAGGCUUUGAAGUGUGGACGCCAGUCUGCAUGGAGCCGACCUUGAAAUACCACCCUUUAAUGUUUGAUGUUCUAACGUGGACCCGUAAUCCGGGUUGCGGACAGUGUCUGGUGGGUAGUUUGACUGGGGCGGUCUCCUCCUAAAGAGUAACGGAGGAGCACGAAGGUUGGCUAAUCCUGGUCGGACAUCAGGAGGUUAGUGCAAUGGCAUAAGCCAGCUUGACUGCGAGCGUGACGGCGCGAGCAGGUGCGAAAGCAGGUCAUAGUGAUCCGGUGGUUCUGAAUGGAAGGGCCAUCGCUCAACGGAUAAAAGGUACUCCGGGGAUAACAGGCUGAUACCGCCCAAGAGUUCAUAUCGACGGCGGUGUUUGGCACCUCGAUGUCGGCUCAUCACAUCCUGGGGCUGAAGUAGGUCCCAAGGGUAUGGCUGUUCGCCAUUUAAAGUGGUACGCGAGCUGGGUUUAGAACGUCGUGAGACAGUUCGGUCCCUAUCUGCCGUGGGCGCUGGAGAA
rnacentral:rRNA from 1 species